UACGGAGGGAGCUAGCGUUGUUCGGAAUUACUGGGCGUAAAGCGCAUGUAGGCGGCUUUUUAAGUCAGGGGUGAAAUCCCGGGGCUCAACCCCGGAACUGCCCUUGAAACUGGAGAGCUAGAAUCUUGGAGAGGCGAGUGGAAUUCCGAGUGUAGAGGUGAAAUUCGUAGAUAUUCGGAAGAACACCAGUGGCGAAGGCGACUCGCUGGACAAGUAUUGACGCUGAGGUGCGAAAGCGUGGGGAGCAAACAGG
rnacentral:rRNA from 1 species